AUUGAACGCUGGCGGCAGGCCUAACACAUGCAAGUCGAGCGGAUGAGUGGAGCUUGCUCCAUGAUUCAGCGGCGGACGGGUGAGUAAUGCCUAGGAAUCUGCCUGGUAGUGGGGGACAACGUUUCGAAAGGAACGCUAAUACCGCAUACGUCCUACGGGAGAAAGUGGGGGAGCUUCGGACCUCACGCUAUCAGAUGAGCCUAGGUCGGAUUAGCUAGUUGGUGAGGUAAAGGCUCACCAAGGCGACGAUCCGUAACUGGUCUGAGAGGAUGAUCAGUCACACUGGAACUGAGACACGGUCCAGACUCCUACGGGAGGCAGCAGUGGGGAAUAGUGGACAAUGGGCGAAAGCCUGAUCCAGCCAUGCCGCGUGUGUGAAGAAGGUCUUCGGAUUGUAAAGCACUUUAAGUUGGGAGGAAGGGCAGUAAGUUAAUACCUUGCUGUUUUGACGUUACCAACAGAAUAAGCACCGGCUAACUUCGUGCCAGCCGCCGCGGUAAAAC
rnacentral:rRNA from 1 species